rnacentral:rRNA from 1 species
UUGGUAACUAUCAAAAAAUCACGUAAGCUCGUCAUGUCUCUAAUCCCACCUAGAUAUUUCUACAAUUGGUCCAAUUGUCUCUUGAGAAUUCCUGCUUCUUUCUUUGGAGGUCGAUUGAUUUAUCCUGUAUCUUGUUCCUUUUUAAAUUCCUUGAACUUAUGAGGUCUUGUCUUUGUAGUAGGCCAAUUAGUUAACAUACCACCAAGCCAUUUUCUAUUUACAUAAUGACAUCGAGCUUCUGUAGCAGCUAAUGCUACUAAAUUAAAUGUUUUAUAUUUCAUACUGACUAUCAGGAAUUGUGUUCCCCUACCUGCUAUAUCAAAUGACAAAUCACAAGCUUCUGAUAAAGAACGAGCAGUUUUAGCCAGAUUUAUAAUAUGAGUAUCUUUACACUUUGUAAAAAUGUAAGGUGCCUCGAGUAGCAUGGGGCAUGUGGAAUCCUGUGUGAAUCAGCAAGGACCAUAUUGCAAGGCUAAAUACUCCUGGGUGAUCGAUAGUGAAGUAGUAUAGCAAGGGAAAGGUGAAAAGAACCACCAUCAGGGAGUGAAAUAGAACAUGAAACCGUAAGAUCCCAAGAAGUGGGAGGAAAGUGAUAUCUCUUACCGCGUGCCUAUUGAAGAAUGAGCUGGUGACUUAUAGGCAGUGGCUUGGUUAAGGGAACCCACCGGAGUCGUAGCAAGAGUGAGUAUUCAUGGGGAAAUUGUCACUUCUUAUGGACACAAACCUGGGUGAUAUAUCCAUGACCAGGAUGAAGCUUGGGUGAAACUAAGUGGAGGUCCUAACAUACUAAUGUUGAAAAAUUAGCGGAUGAGUCGUGGUUAGGGGUGAAAUGCCACUCGAACCUAGAGCUAGCUAGUUCUCCCCAAAAUGUGUUGAGGUGCAAUAGUUGGCUGUACCUUCUAGGGGUAAAGAAUUGUUUUGGUACGGGCCACGAGAGCGGUACCAAAUCGAGGCAAACUAUGAAUACUAGAUUGCCCCAAUAAAAGGGGUAAAGGUCAGCCACUAAGACGAUGGGGGAUAAGCCUCAUCGUCGAGACGGGAAUAACCCAGAUCAUCAACUAAUGACCCUAAAUGACUGCUCAGUGACAGCUAGGAGGUCUUCCUAGAAGAAACCAACCUUGAAAGAGGGCGUAAUAGGUCACUGAUCGAGAAAUCUUGUGUCGAAGAUGAACGGGACUAAGCGAUAUGAAAAAUAUGUGGGAUGUAAAAAUAUAUCGGUAGGGGAGAGUUCCUCCUCAGAGGGAAGCACUGAUGAGAGAAGGUGUGGAAAAAGUGGAAGAAAGAAUGUCGACUUGAGUAAUGCAAACAUUGGUGAGAAUCCAAUGCCCUGAAAACCUAAGGGUUCCUCCGUAAGGUUCAUCCAUGGAGGUUGAGUCAGGGCCUAAGAUUAGGACGAAAGGCAUAGUUUAUGGACAACAUGUAAAUAUUCCUGUACUAUCCCUUGUUGGUCCUGAGGGAUAGAGGGGGCUAGGUUAGCCGAAAGAUGGUUAUCGGUUCAAGGACGCAAGGUGACCCUGCUUUUUUCAGGGUAAGAAGGGGUAGAUAAAAUUUCUCGAUCCAAUGUCUGAGUACCAAGUGCUACAACACUAAAGUAACCCAUUCCAUACUCCCAGGAAAAGCUCGAACGACCUUUAACAAAUGGGUACCUAUACCUGAAACUGACACAGGUAGAUAGGUAGAGAAUACCUAGGGGCACGAGACAAAUCUCUCUAAGGAACUCAAAAAAAUAGCCCCAUAACUUCAGGAGAAGGGGUGCCUUCUCAGGAGGUCAUAGUGACUAGGCCUAGGUGACUGUUUACCAAAACCACAGGUCUCUGCAAAGUCAUAAGACCAUGUAUGGGGGCUGAUGCCUACCCCAUGCUGGAAUGUUAAGGAAGUUGGUGACCUGAUGAUGGGGAAGCCAACAACUAAAGCCCUGGUGAACGAAGAUUGUAACUAUAACAGUUCUAAGGUAGAGAAAUUCCUUGUCGGAUAAGUUCUGACAUGCAUGAAAGGCGUAAUGAUCUGGGCACUAUCUCAGAGAGAGACUCAGUGAAAUAGACAUGUCUGUGAAGAUCCAGACUACUUGCACCUAGACAAAAAGACCCUAUGAAGCUUUACUGUUCCCUGGAAUUGUCUUUGGGUUCUUCUUACGCAGCUUAGGUAGAAGGUGAAGAAGUCUCCCUUCUUGAGGGGCCUGAGCCACCAGUGAGAGACCACUCUGGAAGAGCUAGAAUUCUAACCUUGUGCCACGACCUAUAGGCCAAGGGACAGUCUCAAGUAGAUAGUUUCUAUGGGGCGUAGGCCUCCCAAAAGGUAACGGAGGUAUGCAAAGGUUUCCUCGGGCCGGACAAAAAUCAACCCUCGAGUGCAAAGGCAGAAGGGAUCUUGACUGCAAGACCCACCCAUCGAGCAGGGAUGAAAUUUAGCCUUAGUGAUCCAACGGUGUUGAGUGGAAGGGUCGUCUCUCAAUGGAUAAAAUUUACUCUAGGGAUAAUAGGUUGAUCUUCCCAAAAGUUCACAUCAACGGGAAGGUUUGGCACCUCGAUGUCGGCUCUUCACCACCUGGGGUGGUAGUAUGUUCUAAGGGUUGGGUUGUUUUCCCAUUAAAGUGGUACAUGAGAUGGGUUUAGAACGUCGUGAGAUAGUUUGGUCCAUAUCCGAUGAGGGUGUUAGAUCAUUGAGAGGACCUUUCCCUAGUACAAGAGGACCGGGAAGGACGCACAUCUGGUGUACCAAUUAUCUUUCCCAUGGUAGACAUUGGGCAGCCAAGUGCAGAGUGGAUAAUGACUACAAGAAUAUAAGUAGGAAGCCCACCCCAAGAUGAGUGCUCUCUUAUUCUUACUUCCCUAAGAUCCCUAGUCAUGAACACAGCUAGGACAGUGAUAGGUUCUAUGUCCUUGCAGGGGAUGGAGCGACAAAAGUAUUGAGAAUAUAAGAUAAGGUCACGGUGAGGUGAGUCAUUUAUUAUUAGAAUAGAUGUCAAGUGGAAGUGCAGUGAUGUAUGCAAUUGAGGCAUCCUAACAGACACAGAGAUUUGAACCU